UCCGAAUUAGUUUAGUGGCUAUGACGGCGCCUUGUCAGUGUUUCCGCGCAGAUUAUACGGCGCAGACCCGGGUUCAAUUCCCGGAUUUGGAG
rnacentral:tRNA from 1 species